rnacentral:rRNA from 1 species
GAUGAACGCUGGCGGCGUGCCUAAUACAUGCAAGUCGAGCGAACAGACGAGGAGCUUGCUCCUUCGACGUUAGCGGCGGACGGGUGAGUAACACGUAGGUAACCUACCUAUAAGACUGGGAUAACUUCGGGAAACCGGAGCUAAUACCGGAUAAUAUUUCGAACCGCAUGGUUCGAUAGUGAAAGAUGGCUUUGCUAUCACUUAUAGAUGGACCUGCGCCGUAUUAGCUAGUUGGUAAGGUAACGGCUUACCAAGGCAACGAUACGUAGCCGACCUGAGAGGGUGAUCGGCCACACUGGAACUGAGACACGGUCCAGACUCCUACGGGAGGCAGCAGUAGGGAAUCUUCCGCAAUGGGCGAAAGCCUGACGGAGCAACGCCGCGUGAGUGAUGAAGGUCUUCGGAUCGUAAAACUCUGUUAUUAGGGAAGAACAAACGUGUAAGUAACUGUGCACUUCUUGACGGUACCUAAUCAGAAAGCCACGGCUAACUACGUG